GACGGACGCUGGCGGCGUGCUUAACACAUGCAAGUCGAACGGAAAGGCCCUGCUUGCCGGGUACUCGAGUGGCGAACGGGUGAGUAACACGUGGGUGAUCUGCCCUGCACUUCGGGAUAAGCCUGGGAAACUGGGUCUAAUACCGGAUAGGAGCCAUUUUUAGUGUGAUGGUUGGAAAGUUUUUUCGGUGUAGGAUGAGCUCGCGGCCUAUCAGCUUGUUGGUGGGGUAAUGGCCUACCAAGGCGGCGACGGGUAGCCGGCCUGAGAGGGUGGACGGCCACAUUGGGACUGAGAUACGGCCCAGACUCCUACGGGAGGCAGCAGUGGGGAAUAUUGCACAAUGGGCGCAAGCCUGAUGCAGCGACGCCGCGUGGGGGAUGACGGCCUUCGGGUUGUAAACUCCUUUCGCUAGGGACGAAGCUUUUUGUGACGGUACCUAGAUAAGAAGCACCGGCUAACUACGUG
rnacentral:rRNA from 1 species